rnacentral:rRNA from 1 species
ACAUCCAGAGAACUUAGCAGAGAUGCUUUGGUGCCUUCGGGAACUCUGAGACAGGUGCUGCAUGGCUGUCGUCAGCUCGUGUUGUGAAAUGUUGGGUUAAGUCCCGNAACGAGCGCAACCCUUAUCCUUUGUUGCCAGCGGUUCGGCCGGGAACUCAAAGGAGGCUGCCGGUGAUAAACCGGAGGAAGGUGGGGAUGACGUCAAGUCAUCAUGGCCCUUACGGCCAGGGCUACACACGUGCUACAAUGGCGCAUACAAAGAGAAGCGACCUCGCGAGAGCAAGCGGACCUCAUAAAGUGCGUCGUAGUCCGGAUUGGAGUCUGCAACUCGACUCCAUGAAGUCGGAAUCGCUAGUAAUCGUAGAUCAGAAUGCUACGGUGAAUACGUUCCCGGGCCUUGUACACACCGCCCGUCACACCAUGGGAGUGGGUUGCAAAAGAAGUAGGUAGCUUAACCUUCGGGAGGGCGCUUACCACUUUGUGAUUCAUGACUGGGGUGAAGUCGUAACAAGGUAAGCGUAGUGCU